rnacentral:rRNA from 1 species
UACGGAGGGUGCGAGCGUUGUCCGGAAUCAUUGGGCGUAAAGGGCGCGUAGGUGGCGGGACAAGCGUGCGGUGAAAGCUCGGGGCUCAACCCCGCGUCGGCCGUGCGAACUGUUUUGCUUGAGCACUGUAGAGGCAGGCGGAAUUCCGGGUGUAGCGGUGGAAUGCGUAGAGAUCCGGAAGAACACCGGUGGCGAAGGCGGCCUGCUGGGCAGUAGCUGACGCUGAGACGCGAAAGCCAGGGGAGCGAACGGG